GGGAUCUUUCGGUUCCAGAAUCAACGGAGCUCACCAAUCUUUAUCAUGAGAAAAAUCCAGAGCAUGAAACAGUUGGUUUCAGAAAACUUCAUUUAUCUCGUCCGACUUCACUCGAACUGACCCAAAUGGCAGCUAUAAUUAUAAUUUUAGAUCUCUAGGCAAAAUUUAUAUCCUAAUUCAAGAAAAUAGUAAAGUGAACACCGUUGAUUCUGGAACCGAAAGAUCCCUAUGAAAGUUCUUCUCAUGUUAGUUAUCAUUCAUCCCAAAUAAUCCACACGCCCCUUGUCUUGUUAAGCCUAUGUACAACUUUCUGAACAGUAUUUGCUACAAGUUAAAAAAGACCUCUAGCGUCUUUUAAGUUUGAUAAAAUCUGAGAAUCACAAGGAUGAAGAUAACGCUCCAAAGAAUAUCAGAUGCCUAUUUUCUAAGGAAUCCCUCCAGUUACCGACCAAAGAGAGUAUAUACCAACAAGUGGAAGGGAAGCAUAUGCCCAUUGGACUCAUACGAGAGGCACAAGGUUGUAUCUUUCAUGACACAUUCACAAGCCUUGCACGUCCAGUGUUUGGAUCCACCUCCACCCUGAGACCAAGUCCAGCAAGCUCGGGCAUUUCAACAGAUCCUUGAAGCUCCAAUUCAGCUACUGCUCGCUGAUUUUCUGCAUUCCCUUCCAAUAAGUUCCUCACAGACCAGAUGCCCCAUUCCCUUAAAAAUGGGUUAUCUUCAUCAGUGACACACUGUUGUAACAUCAGAAGAAUUCCAUUCUUCUGCCUAAUCUCAUCUUGCACACGCCUUCUUUGAAAUGCACAAUUGCCAAUGACCGCAACAAUGUCUCUCCGAAAUCCUUGGUAAGGGCAAGGUCUAAAUGAGCGCAAAGGAGCUGCAUCUUGGCCCUCGUUCAGUUUCAUGGCUUUCUUGAUAAUUGGUGGGGGCUCAAGGUCUCCAAGCACAGAUAAAAGCAAUUCAAGAAAUCCAUAGGAAAAGAGUUUAUCAACGACAUCCAUUUGAUGUUCACCAAGACCGUUCUUACAGUGCUGAGCACAUAUGUCUCUUAAAAUGGUAAGCGAGUAUCCAAGAACAUCAAUUGCAGCAGAACCUACUGGAAGGCCAGAUUUGGCUUUUGAGCUCGAGUCAAUGACCCCAAGAGAUCUCUUAAAUAUUCCAAAUAUAUACAAUCCAAAAUCAAUUGAAGAAAUUAUCUCGCCAAGGCGUUCAUUCAAGAUCUCUGAUACCAUACGCAGAAGAUAAGCUUGUUCCAUUGAAAAAUUGCCGCUACUUGAACUAAUAUCUUCACUGUUUUCAGACUCACCAACACUACAUAAUCCAGAGAAGAGCUGCGGAAAGUGGGCUUCCUCCAAGCAGAUCCUUGAUAGCAGCAGCUUCAACCAAUCUUCUCCAAAACCAACUGCAGAUGCAGUCCUCACAGCUUCAGCCACAAUGGGCAACCCUUGAUCCCCAGAGAGCUCUGCAACCAGGCUAGGGUUUCCAUCACAACAAUUAUAAAUAAUCAUACAAAGAGGAUCAAGAGUGUCCCGACUUGAGACUUUUGCAAGCGCAACAAACUCAUUUGGAAAGAAGCAAUGCCAAAUAGAUUGCUGAUGUUCUUCUCCAGCCAAAGAAACGUUUGCCAAAACCUGCAAUCCCAUACGGGUUAUCCCAUGAUCUGGGUCAGAAGCAAGCCCCGCAGACUUCAAAACAGUUGAAACCAUUCCUGGUCCAUUCAAUUCGAUGAAAAGUUUCUGAUUGGUGAUUUCGCCCGCACAGAGGUUUCUGAGGAGUUUUAAGGCGAGCGUGAGGAAUUGAUGUCCAGAAGGGUAAGGCAUGGACUGUAUAAUCUGAACAACAGCAGGAAGAAUAUCCUUAGAAGCAAGUUCAGCGCGGCCAUGAUCAAUUCUAGAAGUUGCUAUAAGAAUUUCUAAUGCCUCUUUGAGGUUAGAAGAUUUUGAAGCCCUUAACAAUGGUUGGAGGAGAUGUUCGGGCAAAGAGAGCUCCAUCGGCAGCGCCGAUACGUGACCCAUUGAACGACGGUAAAUUUACGACCAAGAAACUUCACAAUGGCACUCGAACUGCUGAAACUGUCGAACUCGAAAGACGCCGUGAACUGAGAUGAGAUGUUGUAUUUCAAAGGACUAAAGCUCAGUCGGAGGAGAAAUAAUAUGUUACAGGGUACAUUUAUAUUUGGUUGUAACUCUCUGAUAUUACAAGACAAAUAAAGAUCAGCGGCAUCCAAUUCCAAUAUGAUCCUUAUCAGUCAUCACCUUUCCGUUUUCCUUUUAAAAGAAACUACAAUCAGGCCCACCGAAAC
rnacentral:misc_RNA from 1 species